UUUAAACAACAAAACCGGAGAAGCUGAGCUUAUACUUGCCUGCGCGGCAAUCUUGAAGCUGCUGCAAUAAUAAGAGAAGACCACACUGAGGUUUCACGCCGAAAGAAUUACCAUGUAUUUGUCCAGAGAAGUUGUGCACACUGCUGCUACCAAUAAAAGAAGCUGAAAUAACAAGAAAACGCAACAGUCACGCAUGAGGUGACAGACUUUUGAAAUCAUUUAGACACUGCAGAGCUGGUGCAGAAGGUGAAAGGUUGAGGCCGAGAGGCCGAGAGCGAUAUAACAAUAACUUCGUUUCACUUCACUAACAAUUGCAUCCCCUUCUAUAUAUAUAGUAAAAAGAGUGCAUAUAGCAAAUAUAAAUCCCAAAGACGAAAUGAUAAGAGAAGAGACAGCAACUGAGCUGAGCCUUUCAGGUUGAGAGAGUUACCAAUUUUAACAAAUGGAUUCAAACUCAGAAGACACUCGAGCUGAUAUGCGAAGGCGGCUCAAGGCUCAACUUGAAUGCUGCAGAAGUCUAUACAUAAGGAAGUAUAUAAGGUAGUAGUUGUAUAUCUAAUAUACAUAUAUAAUAUAUUUAUAUUUAUCCUUACAAAAGAAAAAAAAAAUGGUAAGAGGUACAUCAAGAAAGAAAUAACAGUUGUUUUUGUGUCUUCAGUCUUUGUAGAAAGAGUAUGUAUCAGCUUUAUAAUUAUCAAUUGGUAUUCCAGCUCUCAAGCAUGAGUUUUAUUAUAGCCAA